UACGGAGGGUGCGAGCGUUGUCCGGAAUCAUUGGGCGUAAAGGGCGCGUAGGUGGCCCAGUCAGCGUGCGGUGAAAGCUCGGGGCUCAACCCCGAGUCGGCCGUGCGAACUGCUGGGCUCGAGCACUGUAGAGGCAGGCGGAAUUCCGGGUGUAGCGGUGGAAUGCGUAGAGAUCCGGAAGAACACCGGUGGCGAAGGCGGCCUGCUGGGCAGUGGCUGACGCUGAGGCACGAAGGUCAGGGGAGCAAACGGGG
rnacentral:rRNA from 1 species